UCAGAGGGCGGGGCGAUCGCUCGGCGGCUUCGGCCACCGGGAGGAAAGUCCGGGCUCCGCAGGACAGGAUGGUCGAUAACGUCGACCGGCCGCGAGGCUAGGGAAAGUGCAGCAGAGAACAGACCGCCGAACGGUCCGCGAAGGCGGAUGCGUGGUAAGGGUGAAACGGUGCGGUAAGAGCGCACCAGCGGCCGAGGUGACUCGGUCGGCUUGGUAAACCCCAUCCGGAGCUAGACCAAACAGGGUGCAGAAGCGGUCCGCUUCGCAAUGACACUCGGGUAGGUCGCAAUGGAGGCGGCGAGCAAUCGUCGUGCACAGAUAAAUGGUCGCCAUCAGCCUGGCCGUCCUUGCGGCGGCCUGGUUGGUACAGAACCCGGCUUACAAGCCCUCUGAUGAU
rnacentral:RNase_P_RNA from 1 species